rnacentral:rRNA from 1 species
AGGUGAAAUUUUAAUUUAAUAUUAAUUUAUUUAUAUUUUUGAGAAGUUAAAAUAUUUUUUUUUAAACUAGGAUUAGAUACCCUAUUAUUAAAAAUUUAAUUUAUUAAACUAAGUGAUUAAUAGUUAAGUUCUUUAAAGCUAAAUGAUUUGGCGGUAUUUUAAUCUUUUCAGAGGAACCUGUUCAAUAAAUGAUAAUCCACGAUUAAAUUAACUUAAAUUAGAAAUUUUUAUAUCGUUGUUAUUAAAUAUUUUAUUAGAAUUUAAUAUUUAUUUUUUUUUAUAAGAAAAUAAAUCAAAUCAAGGUGAAGUUUAUAUUUAAGAUGAGAUGGGUUACAUUAAAUUUAAUUUAUGGAUAUUAAUUUUAAAAAUUUUUUGAAAUUGGAUUUGAAAGUAAUUAAAAAAAUAUUUUUUUAAUGAUUAAGCGCUAAAAUAUGCACAUAUUGCCCGUCGCUUUCAAUUAAUUUGGAAUAAGUCGUAACAUAGUAGUUUUACUGGAAAGUGAGUCUAGAAGAAA